rnacentral:rRNA from 1 species
UACGAAGGGGGCUAGCGUUGCUCGGAAUCACUGGGCGUAAAGGGUGCGUAGGCGGGUCUUUAAGUCAGGGGUGAAAUCCUGGAGCUCAACUCCAGAACUGCCUUUGAUACUGAGGAUCUUGAGUUCGGGAGAGGUGAGUGGAACUGCGAGUGUAGAGGUGAAAUUCGUAGAUAUUCGCAAGAACACCGGUGGCGAAGGCGGGUCUCUGGGCCGAUACUGACGCUGAGGAGCGCAAGCGUGGGGAGCGAACAGG